CCAGACUCCUACGGGAGGCAGCAGUGGGGAAUAUUGCACAAUGGGGGGAACCCUGAUGCAGCGACGCCGCGUGAAGGAAGAAGUAUCUCGGUAUGUAAACUUCUGUCAGCAGGGAAGAAAGAAAUGACGGUACCUGACCAAGAAGCCCCGGCUAACUACGUGCCAGCAGCCGCGGGAAUACGUAGGGGGCAAGCGUUAUCCGGAAUUACUGGGUGUAAAGGGAGCGUAGACGGUGAUGCAAGUCUGGAGUGAAAGGCGGGGGCCCAACCCCCGGACUGCUCUGGAAACUGUGUAACUUGAGUGCAGGAGAGGUAAGCGGAAUUCCUAGUGUAGCGGUGAAAUGCGUAGAUAUUAGGAGGAACACCAGUGGCGAAGGCGGCUUACUGGACUGUAACUGACGUUGAGGCUCGAAAGCGUGGGGAGCAAACAGGAUUAGAUACCCCGGUAU
rnacentral:rRNA from 1 species